AGUGAACGCUGGCGGUAGGCCUAACACAUGCAAGUCGAACGGCAGCACAGUAAGAGCUUGCUCUUACGGGUGGCGAGUGGCGGACGGGUGAGGAAUACAUCGGAAUCUACUUUUUCGUGGGGGAUAACGUAGGGAAACUUACGCUAAUACCGCAUACGACCUACGGGUGAAAGCAGGGGAUCUUCGGACCUUGCGCGAUUGAAUGAGCCGAUUUCGGAUUAGCUAGUUGGCGGGGUAAAGGCCCACCAAGGCGACGAUCCGUAGCUGGUCUGAGAGGAUGAUCAGCCACACUGGAACUGAGACACGGUCCAGACUCCUACGGGAGGAAGCAGUGGGGAAUAUUAGACAAUGGGCGCAAGCCUGAUCCAGCAAUACCGCGUGGGUGAAGAAGGCCUUCGGGUUGUAAAGCCCUUUUGUUGGGAAAGAAAAGCAGCAGGUUAAUACCCCGCUGUUCUGACGGUACCCAAAGAAUAAGCACCGGCUAACUUCGUG
rnacentral:rRNA from 1 species